CCCGCCCCCAGGGUUGGUUUUUCCCAGCUGCGGAGGCUGGGCCAGGGGCUGGGGUGCUAGGAGAGUCGGCGCCGGCUGCGCGGAGCCGGGAAGUGGCCGCGACUCCGGUGAGACUCAGAGUUGUCUCUGGAGGUGACCCGCGCGGAGGUCCUGAAGCGGAUCGAGCGCGAGGCGCCAACAAAAGAGGCAAGAGGGUGCCACCGGGGGGCGGCGGCCGGAAGAGGAGCGGGAGGAAGAGCUGAGCCUCCGGACUCGCCGGCAAUCUUCAUGCUCUCACUUUGCUCUCAGCAAGAACACCUGGGAUUCUUCAGCCUUGCCAUGUGUGGAGAACAGCCCAAAAAUAGGCCUGCGAACACUUCCAAGAUGGAUUGCUACUCUUUUCGAACAUCAACAACAAAAGAAAUCAACAUACAACAUACUAACCUCCAUCACUACUGAUUGCAGUCACUUUGAAGAUUAAUAUAAUGUGAUAUUACCAUGUAAUGUUACUCAAAAAGACUUAAUGCAAUUGCUGUAAGAAAAUAAAAAUUAAAUAACAAUAAAAUGUUCUAAUUAUGAUCAAGGCACCUUGUAAGUGAAAAUGACUUUAGAAGUGAAAGAUCCACCUUUUAGGAAGUCUCAGUGUAAGCACACCAUGAAUUCAAGUUAAUUUUUUCUUAUAUGUAUUUUGAAGCAAUAUAGGGUGAGAAAUUUCUGUGUAACUAUUAUAUUCACAAAUAAAU
rnacentral:lncRNA from 1 species